rnacentral:rRNA from 1 species
UACGAAGGGGGCUAGCGUUGCUCGGAAUCACUGGGCGUAAAGGGUGCGUAGGCGGGUCUUUAAGUCAGGGGUGAAAUCCUGGAGCUCAACUCCAGAACUGCCUUUGAUACUGAGGAUCUUGAGUUCGGGAGAGGUGAGUGGAACUGCGAGUGUAGAGGUGAAAUUCGUAGAUAUUCGCAAGGACACCAGUGGCGAAGGCGGCUCACUGGCCCGAUACUGACGCUGAGGCACGAAAGCGUGGGGAAGCAAACA